CCUACGGGUGGCAGCAGUGGGGAAUAUUGGACAAUGGGGGAAACCCUGAUCCAGCAAUGCCGCGUGUGUGAAGAAGGCCUGCGGGUUGUAAAGCACUUUCGGUUGGGAAGAAAAGUUUGGCGCCAAUACCGCCGAACCUUGACGUUACUGACAGAAGAAGCACCGGCUAACUCUGUGCCAGCAGCCGCGGUAAUACAGAGGGUGCAAGCGUUAAUCGGAAUGUCUGGGCGUGGAGCGUGCGGAGGUGGUCGGUAUCCCCGGGCUUAACCUGGGAACUGCAUUCGCUACUACAUGGCUAGAGUAUGGUAGAGGGAAGUGGAAUUUCCGGUGUAGCGGUGAAAUGCGUAGAUAUCGGAAGGAACACCAAUGGCGAAGGCAGCUUCCUGGACUAACACUGACACUGAGGCACGAAAGCGUGGGUAGCAAACAGGAUUAGAUACCCGAGUAGUC
rnacentral:rRNA from 1 species